GAUGAACGCUGGCGGCGUGCCUAAUACAUGCAAGUCGAGCGAACGGACGAGAAGCUUGCUUCUCUGAUGUUAGCGGCGGACGGGUGAGUAACACGUGGAUAGCCUACCUAUAAGACUGGGAUAACUUCGGGAAACCGGAGCUAAUACCGGAUAAUAUUUUGAACCGCAUGGUUCAAAAGUGAAAGACGGUCUUGCUGUCACUUAUAGAUGGAUCCGCGCUGCAUUAGCUGGUUGGUAAGGUAACGGCUUACCAAGGCAACGAUGCAUAGCCGACCUGAGAGGGUGAUCGGCCACACUGGAACUGAGACACGGUCCAGACUCCUACGGGAGGCAGCAGUAGGGAAUCUUCCGCAAUGGGCGAAAGCCUGACGGAGCAACGCCGCGUGAGUGAUGAAGGUCUUCGGAUCGUAAAACUCUGUUAUUAGGGAAGAACAUAUGUGUAAGUAACUGUGCACAUCUUGACGGUACCUAAUCAGAAAGCCACGGCUAACUACGUG
rnacentral:rRNA from 1 species